AUUGAACGCUGGCGGCAGGCCUAACACAUGCAAGUCGAGCGAGCGGCGGACGGGUGAGUAAUGUAUGGGGACUGCCCGAUAGAGGGGGAUAACUACUGGAAACGGUAGCUAAUACCGCAUACUAUCGGAUAACCCAUAUGGGAUUAACUAGUAGGUGAGGAAAUGGCUCACCUAGGCGACGAUCCCUAGCUGGACUGAGAGGAUGAUCAGCCAGAGUGGGACUGAGAAACGGCCAAGAGUCAUACGGAGGCAGCAGUGGGAAGUAUUGGACAAAGGGGGCAAGCCUGAUGCAGCCAUGCAGGGUGUAUGAAGAAGGCCCUAGGAUUGUAAAGUACUUUCAGUCGGGAGGCGUUACCGACAGAAGAAGCACCGGCUAACUCCGUGCCAGCAGCCGCGGUAAUUC
rnacentral:rRNA from 1 species